GACGAACGCUGGCGGCGUGCCUAAUACAUGCAAGUAGGACGCAGUUGCGAACGGGUGAGUAACGCGUAGGUAACUACCUAUUAGAGGGGGAUAACUAAUGGAAACGAUAGCUAAUACCGCAUACUAGUAGAUGGACCUGCGUUGUAUUAGCUAGUAGGUAGGGUAAUGGCCUACCUAGGCAACGAUACAUAGACGACCCGAGAAGGUGAUCGGCCAAACCUGGAAGGAGACACGGGCCAGACCCCUAACGGAUGGAGCAGUAGGGAAGCUUUGGCAAUGGGGGGAACCCUGACCGAGCAACGCCGGGUGAGUGAAGAAGGGUUUCGGAUCGUAAAGCUCUGUUGUUAAGGAAGCGGUACUUAACCAGAAAGGGACGGCUAACUACGUGCCAGCAGCCGCGGUAAUUC
rnacentral:rRNA from 1 species